rnacentral:tRNA from 1 species
GGGCGAUUAGCUCAGCCGGCCAGAGCACCCGCCUUACACGCGGGCUGUCGCAGGUUCGAAUCCUGCAUCGCCCACCA